UAUUCGUUACGAAAUAAUAUAUUGAGAAAAAUUUGUUUCUAUUCUUUUAGAAUUUUCAUACUUUUCAUUUAUUUAUUUAUUCAUUUUUUGUUUUGUUUUGGUUUCUUUUCUUUUUCUUUUAAUCAUUUCAAGUAUAUAAUCGAAUCCGAAGUAAGUGUGUAUUUAAGUGCGCGUACGUGUGUGGGUGUGUGUGCGUGUGUGUGCACGCUCACACGUGUGUUCUAAAAUUAUUGAAUCAAGUGUGUGCAUAUAUAGUGGAUAAGUGCAUCUAUGGUUCGUGUGAACCAUUGAAUAUUUAUUAUAAUAGAAUUUUUUACGAAGGAUAGAUGGUCGUGUGUCCGAUAUAAAAAUCUAAAGAAUGACAUUCACUUUCGUAACGAAACGAUUAAGGAAGAGGUGAAACAGGAGAAACUUUUCAUUUCCGGCAGGUGUUGUACAUUGCACUUUGAUCUUAAGUUUUGCAAAAGUGAAACUUAUCGUUGAUAUGUUUACUCCAUCCAUUUGAGAUUAUUUUAAAAAGAACGAGUAGAUAAGAACUCAUCGGUAGAAAUGUUCGAUGAUGAUAAAUACUAAAUGUCUUGUGACAAGGACACCGAUAGUUUAUCUUUUAAUUAAUUCUACAUAAUAAAUAUUGAUUUAAUCUUUAACAAAUAUAUAUAUAUAUAUAUAUAUAUAUAUAUAUAUGUGUGUUACA